rnacentral:rRNA from 1 species
GACGAACGCUGGCGGCGUGCUUAACACAUGCAAGUCGAACGGAAAGGCCCUGCUUUUGUGGGUUGCUCGAGUGGCGAACGGGUGAGUAACACGUGAGUAACCUGCCCUUGACUGUGGGAUAACUUCAGGAAACUGGGGCUAAUACCGGAUAGGAGCUCCUGCUGCGUGGUGUGGGUUGGAAAGUUUCGGCGGUUGGGGAUGGACUCGCGGCUUAUCAGCUUGUUGGUGGGGUAGUGGCUUACCAAGGCUUUGACGGGUAGCCGGCCUGAGAGGGUGACCGGCGACAUUGGGACUGAGAUACGGCCCAGACUCCUACGGGAGGCAGCAGUGGGGAAUAUUGCACAAUGGGCGGAAGCCUGAUGCAGCAACGCCGCGUGCGGGAUGACGGCCUUCGGGUUGUAAACCGCUUUCGCCUGUGACGAAGCGUGAGUGACGGUAAUGGGUAAAGAAGCACCGGCUAACUACGUG